rnacentral:rRNA from 1 species
UACGUAGGGUGCAAGCGUUGUCCGGAAUUAUUGGGCGUAAAGAGCUCGUAGGCGGUUCGUCGCGUCGGCUGUGAAAUCCCGAGGCUCAACCUCGGGUCUGCAGUCGAUACGGGCGGACUGGAGUUCGGCAGGGGAGACUGGAAUUCCUGGUGUAGCGGUGAAAUGCGCAGAUAUCAGGAGGAACACCGGUGGCGAAGGCGGUUCUCUGGGAAUGUACUGACGCUGAGGAGCGAAAGUGUGGGGAGCGAACAGG